GAUCAUAUGAUAAAAUACAAUAGAAUGACUGCGGGUACAAUUCUUAGUUCCUAAACCUACAAACAAUGUUUAUUUAUACAACUUAUGCAACAAAUGGGUCAAACGACGGGUUUUAAUUUAGAACUCAUAAAUCAUCAGCUGGUGGAAUCUCACUCAAGUCCAGUCCAUCCUCAGGUAGUUCAGAGGUCAGCGGACCUAAAAUCCCGUCAGAGUUGAGGGUCAAUCCACUCUCAGGCUGGAA
rnacentral:misc_RNA from 1 species